AAUUAAAUUAGUAUUUGACUUUUUAAUCCUUAAAUACAUAAAUUAAUUUACUCUUUAAAAUUUUAUUUCUAAUGGCAUACCUAUGUAAUUACUUACAAAAAUUAAGGUUAGAUUUAAAAUGUACUUCCCAAAUAAUAUAGUAAGAUAUCAUCAACUUU
rnacentral:sRNA from 1 species